GUUUAAAUUUAUAACAAAACAAAACUUUCAACAACGGAUCUCUUGGCUCUCGCAUCGAUGAAGAACGCAGCGAAAUGUGAUAAGUAAUGUGAAUUGCAGAAUUCAGUGAAUCAUCGAAUCUUUGAACGCAUCUUGCACUCUCUGGUAUUCCGGAGAGUAUGUCUGUUUGAGUGUCAUGAAUUCUUCAACCCUCCCUUUUCUUAGUGAAUUGAGAGGAGUUUGGAUUCUGAGUGUUGCUCCUAACCCGAGCUCAUUCGUAAUAUAUUAGCAUCCAUAUUCGACUUCGGAUUGACUUGGCGUAAUAGACUAUUCGCUGAGGAAUCUAACUUCGGUUAGAGCCGUUUUUGAACUAGGAAGCUGCUAAUCUAGCUUAGUCUACCUUUAGAUUAGAUCUCAAAUCAGAUAGGAUUACCCGCUGAACUUAAGCAUAUCAAUAAGCGGAGGAAAAGAAACUAACAAGGAUUCCCCUAGUAGCGGCGAGCGAAGCGGGAAGAGCUCAAAUUUGUAAUCUGGCGCUUUCAGCGUCCGAGCUGUAAUCUCUAGAAAUGUUUUCCGCGUUGCACCGCACACAAGUCUGUUGGAAUACAGCGGCACAGUGGUGAGAC
rnacentral:rRNA from 1 species